UAUUGGACAAUGGGGGGAACCCUGAUCCAGCCAUGCCGCGUGUGUGAAGAAGGCCUUAUGGUUGUAAAGCACUUUAAGCGAGGAGGAGGGUACUGGUAUUAAUACUACCAGCUACUGGACGUUACUCGCAGAAUAAGCACCGGCUAACUCUGUGCCAGCAGCCGCGGUAAUACAGAGGGUGCGAGCGUUAAUCGGAUUUACUGGGCGUAAAGCGUGCGUAGGCGGCUAAUUGAGUCGGAUGUGAAAUCCCCGAGCUUAACUUGGGAAUUGCAUUCGAUACUGGUUAGCUAGAGUGUGGGAGAGGAUGGUAGAAUUCCAGGUGUAGCGGUGAAAUGCGUAGAGAUCUGGAGGAAUACCGAUGGCGAAGGCAGCCAUCUGGCCUAACACUGACGCUGAGUACGAA
rnacentral:rRNA from 1 species